rnacentral:rRNA from 1 species
GAGUUUGAUCCUGGCUCAGGACAAACGCUGGCGGCGUGUAUUAGGCACGCAAGUCGAACGCACACUUCGGUGUGAGUGGCGGACGGGUGAGUAACACGUGGAUAACCUACCCUUGAGUGGGGAAUAACUCGUCGAAAGACGAGCUAAUACCGCAUACGAUCACCGGUGAAUUGCCGGAUGAUGAAAGCAGUAAUGCGCUCAUGGAGGGGUCUGCGCCCGAUUAGCUAGUUGGUGGGGUAAAAGCCUACCAAGGCGACGAUCGGUAGCUGGUCUGAGAGAAUGAUCAGCCACACGGGGACUGAGAUACGGCCCCGACUCCAACGGGAGGCAGCAGCUAAGAAUCUUGCGCAAUGGGCGAAAGCCUGACACAGCAACGCCGCGUGGGGGACGAAGGUCCUAGGAUUGUAAACCCCUUUUGCGAGGGAAGAAGUUCUGACGGUACCUCGCGAAUAAGACACGGCUAACUACGUGCCAGCAGCCGCGGUAAUACGUAGGUGUCAAGCGUUGUCCGGAUUUAUUGGGCGUAAAGCGCCCGCAGGCGGCUCGGCAAGUUUCGGGUGAAAUCUCCCGGCUCAACUGGGAGGGGUCUCGAAAAACUAUCGGGCUUGAGGCAGGGAGAGGGAAGCAGAAUUCCAGGUGUAGCGGCGAAAUGCGUAGAGAUCUGGAGGAAUACCGGUGGCGAAGGCGGCCCCCUGGACGAAGACUGACGCUCAGGUGCGAAAGCGUGGGGAGCAAACAGGAUUAGAUACCCUGGUAGUCCACGCCGUAAACGAUGUCGACUU